UCAUUUUUAUUCAAUUUUCAAGGAGAAGAGCUGCAGUAAACAUGUAUUUAAAAACCUUUCUCUUGCUUGCCUGUUUCUUCACUUCAUUUGUUGCUUCCCUGGUCAAUGAAGACUGGUAAAGAACACAAGGUACAUAUGUAGACAUCAGAUGUCCUGGUUAUGGCGUUUACUGUAAUACCGGGAAUGAGAACCAUAGUGGAAAUGAAACCAAUAAUUGGGAGGAUUGUGCUCUUCAAUGUGCAAAUUAUCGGACCUGUGUCUACUGGCAUUGGCAUACACUAGAAGAAAGUGCUACACCUGGUGCAACUCCUGAACAAUGCCACCUUAUGGGUUCCUGCCCUAGUCCCUCCAGGCAUGUUGAUGUGAUUUCUGGACUUUAUGACUGCUUUGAAAAUCAUUGUUCUAAAUAGUUAGUAAGUUAAAUAAAUGACAAAUAUUUAAU